AGCGAACGCUGGCGGCAGGCUUAACACAUGCAACUCGAGCGGGGCCCUUCGGGGUCAGCGGCGGACGGGUGAGUAACGCGUGGGAACGUGCCUUCUGGUCUGGAAUAACCCUGGGAAACUAGGGCUAAUACCGGAUACGCCCUUUUGGGGAAAGGUUUACUGCCGGAAGAUCGGCCCGCGUCUGAUUAGCUAGUUGGUGGGGUAAUGGCCUACCAAGGCUAAGACGCCUAGCUGGUCUGAGAGGAUGAUCAGCCACACUGGGACUGAGACACGGCCCAGACUCCUACGGGAGGCAGCAGUGGGGAAUAUUGGACAAUGGGCGCAAGCCUGAUCCAGCCACGCCGCGUGAGUGAUGAAGGCCUUCGGUCGUAAGA
rnacentral:rRNA from 1 species